UAAAGGCUUGGUCCUAACUUUACUGUCAGCUUUAGCUAAACUUACACAUGCAAGUAUCCGCGCCCCCGUGAGAAUGCCCUCAACUUCCCAGCCGGAAACAAGGAGCCGGUAUCAGGCACACACUACCCGUAGCCCAAGACACCUUGCUAAACCACACCCACACGGGUCUUCAGCAGUGAUAAACAUUAAGCCAUAAGUGCAAACUUGACUUAGUUACAGCAACCAGAGCCGGUAAAACUCGUGCCAGCCACCGCGGUUAUACGAGCGACUCAAGUUGACAAACACCGGCGUAAAGCGUGAUUAAGGUUUACAUUAACUAGAGCCAAACCACUUCUAAGCCGUUAUACGCAAUCGAAGAAAUGAAGCCCUAUCACGAAAGUAGCUCUACAUACCCCGAACCCACGAAAUCCAUAUAACAAACUGGGAUUAGAUACCCCACUAUGUAUGGCUAUAAACAAAGAUGGUGUAUCACACAACCAUUCGCCCGGGAACUACAAGCACUAGCUUAAAACCCAAAGGACUUGGCGGUGCUUUAUACCCCCCUAGAGGAGCCUGUUCUAAAACCGAUAACCCCCGUUUAACCUCACCCCCUUUUGUUUAACCCGCCUAUAUACCGCCGUCGUCAGCUUACCCUGUGAAGGCCCCAUAGUAAGCAAAAUUAGCACAGCCCAAAACGCCAGGUCGAGGUGUAGCGCAUAAGGGGGGAAGAAAUGGGCUACAUUCUCUCAAUGAGAUUAUUACUAAUGGUAAAUUGAAAUAUUAACCUGAAGGAGGAUUUAGCAGUAAGUAGAAAAAGAGUUUUCCACUGAAACUGGCCCUGAAGCGCGCACACACCGCCCGUCACUCUCCCCAAAUAAGCACCUAAACUAAAUAAAACAAUAAAAUUAACAAGGGGAGGCAAGUCGUAACAUGGUAAGCAUACCGGAAGGUGUGCUUGGAUUAAC
rnacentral:ncRNA from 1 species